AAUUAAUUAGCUUAUUUGAAAGCUUUAACUUUGAAAGUUAAUGAAAAAGAAUAAUUCUCUUUAUUAAUUU
rnacentral:tRNA from 1 species